UGUCCUACGGGAGGCAGCAGUAGGGAAUUUUCGUCAAUGGGCGCAAGCCUGAACGCGCGAUGCCGCGUGAGUGAAGAAGGCCUUCGGGUCGUAAAGCUCUGUUGCGGGGGAAAAAAGGCAGCAUCAGGAAAUGGGUGCUGACUGAUGGUGCCCCGCCAGAAAGUCACGGCUAACUACGUGCCAGCAGCCGCGGUAAUACGUAGGUGGCGAGCGUUAUCCGGAUUUAUUGGGUUUAAAGGGUGCGUAGGCGGUCCGUUAAGUCAGCGGUAAAAUUGCGGGGCUCAACCCCGUCGAGCCGUUGAAAC
rnacentral:rRNA from 1 species